CACCAGUAUUCAGUGUCUAGACGCCAUGUUAUUGUUCGGCGCAGUGGUAAAUCCAAGUUUAGAUAACUACACCCUCACCAUCUACCCACAAAUAGCCAACACAAGACUAAAUCUGCCAAAUCCGACAACGCUACGCCAAGCAACCGGCGACAUACAAGUAGCGGUACCCCUAUAACCUCCCUGAAGAAGGCCCAAACCAAGGGCCGAAACGUCGGAUGUAAUAGAAUCACCCCGCUCAUAAUUUUCCGGACCGAAAAGCCAAUUUUAGAGGGAUAAAUUCUGCCUAUCAGUCGGUCGUUUCCAC